CUGGUUGAUCCUGCCAGACCCGACUGCUAUCGGAUUGAGAUUUAGCCAUGCGAGUCGAACGUCCCCCUGUUGCGGGGGGCGUGGCGUACGGCUCAGUAACACGUAGUCAACCUGCCCUGGAGACAUGGACAACCCCGGGAAACUGGGAUUAAUCCGUGAUAGGCCAUCUCAUCUGGAAGGAGAGAUGACUUAAAGGGAUGUGAGAGCUUCUUUCUUGUAUCCGCUCCGGGAUGGGACUGCGGCCGAUCAGGCUGUUGGUGGGGUAAUGGCCCACCAAACCUGUAACCGGUACGGGCCUUGAGAGAGGGGGCCCGGAGAUGGACACUGAGAUAAGGGUCCAGGUCCUACGGGGCGCAGCAGGCGCGAAACCUUCGCAAUGCGCGAAAGCGUGACGAGGUUAAUCCGAGUGGUCCCCGCUGAGGGGAUCUUUUGCCGGCUGUAAAAAGGCCGGUGAAUAAGGGGAGGGCAAGUCUGGUGUCAGCCGCGGCGGUAAUACCAGCUCCUCGAGUGGUCGGGGCGAUUAUUGGGCCUAAUGCAUCCGUAGCCUGUUCUGUACGUCCUCUGUUAAAUCCAACGGCUUAACCGUUGGCCCGCAGAGGAUACCGCAGGACUAGGAUGCGGGAGACGUGGACGGUACUCCACGUGUAGGGGUAAAAUCCUUUGAUCCGUGGAAGACCACCAGUGGCGAAGGCGGUCCACCACAACGCGCUCGACGGUCAGGGAUGAAAGCU
rnacentral:rRNA from 1 species